CUCUGUCGGUCUGUCCGGUGGCUGACUGCGGCAAGGUGCUCCUCAACCGACACCGGCGCAGCGAGCACCUGUCCUGGCACCGCGGCGAGACCAUCUGUGCCGUGUGCGGCGCCCAGCUGUGCUCCAGGUCCUCGCUGCGCGUGCACGUGCGCACCCUGCAUCCGCAAAUCAGCCCGGCGGCCGACCUGCGGUCGCCCGGCGGCCGGUAGAAACGACUGGCGGAUCGGUAGAAGCGGCUGACGGAACUGUAGAAGCGGCUGGUGGAGCGGUAUAUGUGCCUGGGGAUCGGUAGUUGGCUGCCGGGUCUUGCUGGAAGCGGCUCCUGCUCGGUGGAUGGUCCCUCGGGGCAGGAUGUCAAGAUGAGGUCGUUGGACAGCGGUGUGGCGUCCUGCACCAUCGUCACGAGGAACUAUCCAACUCACGCACGAACUAGCCCCUCGGUACCCUGCCGGCACGCCGAUGGGGUAUGGCGCGUAACGAUAUUCCAAAAUCCAUAGCGCAGAAUGGGAAAGCUGGAGAAGAACUUCAACACGCACCGUCGGCAGAAGAUGGAUGACGUCAGCGUGACGCCUGCUGCAUGACGUCGGCCUUAAUCCGCCGCUGCUCCACCGCGUUGGCGUGUCUGUGAUGCACAUACUGUGCGAGGUAUGUCUUACGGCCUUGCGGUGGUCGCUGCGCCGUUGCAGAGCUAAUGGCCGCUGCACUGUGACAGAGCCAAUGGCCGCUACGCUGUGACAUAGCCGUUGGUCGCUGUGCUGUGACAGAGCCAAUGGUUGCUGCGCUGUGAUAGAGCCCGUGGUCGCUGCGCUGUGGCAGAGCCAAUGAUCGCCGCGCUGCGGCAGAGCUGAUGAUCACUACGCUGCGGUAGAGCUGAUGGUCGCCGCGCUGCGGCAGGGCUGAUGAUCACUACGCUGCGGCAGAGCUGCUGGUCGCCGCGCUGUGGCAGAGCUGCUGGUCGCCGCGCUGCGGCAGAGCAGAUGUAACGAACGUGUUAAUACCAUCAUCCCUGGCUUUUAUGAAUGCAGUACUUGACUGUCACCUUAUGUUUUCUUCCAUGUUAUCUGGAUGGGUGUGGGCUGAAGAAGUCGCUCAUCUUUUGUAAAAAAGUACAGAUCGAGUCACGGAUUUGGAAGCCGGAAACAGGACAAACGCAUCCGGGGAUUUUGCUGUACUGUCGUGGCAGCACCAACACAGAACACCGGCUGCACCGGAUGCUGCGCAACGGAUGCCACGUACAGUUCUGCGUGCUUUCCAAAAAAAAGUCGUUUUUCAAAGGUGAAAUGAGAAGGGGAAAUUUUCACUUAGAUAAAUAAGUACGACUAAACGUUUUGGACUACCUGCCAGUCAUAAACCUGUCAUGCAGCUUUAGUAAAAUGUAAUAGAACUUUAUCCGUUUAAAAGAAAAGGUAUUGCGGUUGCGGAGCAUUGCAACAAAAUAGUUCAAAAACUUGUGUGGUUAUGACAUAACAAUGCUAUGGGACCAUUGGGGGCUACAGAUGCAAAAUAUGCAUUCGCAACAAAUCAACUUUAAUGUGCCGCAUCUGAACAUGUUGGGAUGCCGUUGAUGAUUCCUGCUCCUCCAUGCUGAGCUUCCAAUGAUGUUCACAAAGUGUGUCGAUGCGUCAUGUAGCCGUCAAGUUCCGUCUUAUUGUGCACCGCCAAACCAUUAGAGGGAAUCUCACACAUUUAGAGAUAUUGAAACAAGUGUCAGAUACGAUGCGAUAAGCUCACUCAUAACUUUUGAUGUACGUCCUUGUACCUUGCACAACACUCAUUGAGAGACAAUUGACGGCCGUUAUAUCUGGAAAUCGUGCUCACGCAUGUCAGGUAUGAACGACUCUACAAUUAUAUGUUUUUGAUCUUGAACGCCUUAUGGCCCGUGAGAUGUCAUGAUUUAAAUAACGUUAUUAUGGGGUCAUGGAUGCGCGGGUAACCUUGAAGUAGUCGGCGCGAAAUAUUCUGCACAUCUUAGUGGGUGUGUAGCUCAGAAACUGGAGGAUCUUAGGUCUUAAGGGCAGGGCUGUGAGCUGUACCGAAUGAUCUUCAAAAUGGCUAUUCUAGUUCAAAACUCCAUACAAAUGUGAAACUUCCUUUACAGCAGAAGUGAUCCAAGCAUGACAAUUCCGAGACACGUGCCCAGGAUUGAUGCAUGGCCUGCCCUGCCCGGCCCCCGGCUGCGGCAAGGCGCUGCGCAACUCACAGCGGCUGAGCGACCACCUGGCCUGGCACCGUGGCGAGACAGUCUGCCCGCUAUGCGGCCAGCGUCUCUCCUCGCGCACCAAGCUGCGCGCCCACGUGCAGCACCUUCACCCGUCGGCUGGCGGCUGGCCGGCGGGGUUCCGCUAACCACGCACCGGAUACGGCACUCCGUUGGCCAUCGGACCAGGGCCGACAGUCGGGUUUGGCGGCGUCUGAGUGAUGUCUGAGGCAGCUGCUACGCCCGCCAGCCGGUGGAGGUCUGCCAUUUACCUGCUGUUUAUUUGGAGUGUGGUUGGACCCGAUCGGCGUGUCAAUGAACAAGGAAUGCUGUCCCGGCAGUACAUGCUGUUUAUUUGGAGUGUGGUUGGACCCGAUCGGCGUGUCAAUGAACAAGGAAUGCUGUCCCGGCAGUACAUGCUGUUUAUUUGGAGUGUGGUUGGACCCGAUCGGCGUGUCAAUGAACAAGGAAUGCUGUCCCGGCAGUACAUGCUGUUUAUUUGGAGUGUGGUUGGACCCGAUCGGCGUGUCAAUGAACAAGGAAUGCUGUCCCGGCAGUACAUGCUGUUUAUUUGGAGUGUGGUUGGACCCGAUCGGCGUGUCAAUGAACAAGGAAUGCUGUCCCGGCAGUACAUGCUGUUUAUUUGGAGUGUGGUUGGACCCGAUCGGCGUGUCAAUGAACAAGGAAUGCUGUCCCGGCAGUACAUGCUGUUUAUUUGG